AUUGAACGCUGGCGGCAGGCCUAACACAUGCAAGUCGAGCGCGCGGCGGACGGGUGAGUAUUGUAUGGGGACUGCCCGUUAGAGGGGGAUAACUCCUGGCAACGGUAGCUCAUACCGCAUACUAUCCGAUACCCCCUAUGGGAUUAGCUCGUAGGUGAGGUAAGGGCUCACCUAGGCGACGAUCACUAGCUGUUCUGAGAGGAUGAUCAGCCACACUGGGACUGAGACACGGCCCAGACUCCUACGGAGGCAGCAGUGGGGAAUAUUGCACAAUGGGCGCAAGCCUGAUGCAGCCAUGCCGCGUGGAUGAAGAAGGCCCUAGGGUUGUAAAGUACUUUCAGUCGGGAGGCGUUACCGACAGAAGAAGCACCGGCUAACUCCGUGCCAGCCGCCGCGGUAAUUC
rnacentral:rRNA from 1 species